rnacentral:rRNA from 1 species
UACGAAGGGGGCUAGCGUUGCUCGGAAUCACUGGGCGUAAAGGGUGCGUAGGCGGGUCUUUAAGUCAGGGGUGAAAUCCUGGAGCUCAACUCCAGAACUGCCUUUGAUACUGAGGAUCUUGAGUCCGGGAGAGGUGAGUGGAACUGCGAGUGUAGAGGUGAAAUUCGUAGAUAUUCGCAAGAACACCAGUGGCGAAGGCGGCUCACUGGCCCGGUACUGACGCUGAGGUGCGAAAGCGUGGGGAGCAAACGGG